AAGCCAUUGUAGUCCAUAAGCUGUACUUUGGAAAUUUAUAUUCAUUAAAUAAAAGUUUAAAAAAAAAGAAAGAAGUAGAGGGUGGCCCAGGUAAUUGGACCCCUGAACCUACCUGGGAGACCUGGUGGAAGCUCCUGGAUCCUGGUUUUGUAUCGGUGCAGCUCCGGCCGUUGGGGCCAUCUGAGGAGUGAACCAGUGGAUGAAAGAUUCUCUCUCUCUCUCUGCCGUUGCCUCUCUGUAACUCAGCUUUUCCAAUAAAUAAAUAAAUCUUUAAAAAAAAAGAAGAACAAUAUAGUAACCAAGAGAGGGAAAAGGAAUGUAUGUGUGUGUGUGUGAGAGAGAGACAGACAGACAGACAGACACACAAAGAGAAAUCUUGAAUUCACUGGUUCACUACCCAAAUGCUUACAAAAGUCAGGACUGGGCCAGGUCAGAGCCAGGAUCCAGGAACUCUCUUAGGCUCUCCCAUGCCAAAAACCCAGGCAUUUGGACCAACAUCUGCUGUAUUUCCAUGUGCAUUGGCAGGAAGCAGGACAAAACAGGAUGUGGGACUCAAUCCCAGGCACUCCAAUAAGAAUGGGGCAAACCAAGGCGUGGAUUAACUUUCUGUUCCACAAAACCCAAGGCAAGAAAAGUAUUUUUCAGAGUGUCCUGACAUAGCAGUUUGAAAAUCAAUGCUGUUUUGUAGGAUAGAAUCAGACUUUUUCCUAUGAGAACUUAUAAUACAUGUAUUUAUUAAACAAAUUGCCAAGUUAGUAAUUCAUAAAGGAAUAUUAAUAUUAUAAGAUAUUUUAAAGAAUUCAGUCUUUCCUUACUUUAUCCAAGAAAUAUUUUUGGGUGCAUACUAAAUAUCAGUCACUUUCCACAGGGUUACUUUGUGACCAGGAUUGUUUGGGGAGGUAUGAGGUGGUGAGACACCAAUCUAAGGCCACAAGCAAUGUAGGGAAUUAAUGUUUGGAACAGACAGACCCAUGUUUCAGACCUCAGUGCAUGAUCUACUUCGUAGCACAUUGCCUAGCUCAUCAAAUUUUCUAAUGAAUAUGCAAGUGUUAUAAACUAUUUAUGUAAAAUUGGGAUAUUAAUAUGGCAUGUACACUAAACCGUAAAUUCAUACUGAUAUAUCCAGUUUUAGUAAUACUGGGCUUUUAUACAAUGCUGUUGAAUUUGCAUCAGCAUCUAUUUUUUCUAAUUCUGACAAUAUUGAUUCUUAAUAAUAUUGUUUGUUUUGUUCUAUAUGAUUUAAAAAUAUUUUUAGAGGCUGGCACUGUGACACACAACAGGUUAAUCUGCAGCCUGCUGUGCCGGCAUCCAAUGUCUGUGCCAAAUGCAGUUCAUAAGUUUUGUUUGCCUGUGUACUAAUGUUGAAAUGUAAAAUCAUGCAUUAAUUCAACCAUUUAAUUUACAGUAAUCAUGUAAAAUACAAUUCAACUACAUUCAUGUUAUUUGGAAUUUUGGUUGUAAGAAUAAGACUCAUUGAAAUUUCCUUAAAAGAGUGGGAUUGUUCUUCUUUGAGAUGUGAGAUAUCCUGGCAAUGGAACUGGAAUUGGAAAUAGAACUGCCUAGGAGCAGUUCUUUAUAUUGUUAAUUCUCCCAGGGUUGGAUCACUUUUUAUCUGCUAAGGACCAUUUGGAUCUUUAUAAUAUAUAGUUUGUGGGAUAUACAAAAAUGAUUACCUUAAAAUUUAGCCUGCUAUAGAUCUAUUGGAGUUGGAAUCCUACCUAUGGUUGCCCUGGUAGUGCUGGACACAAUGAUUUCAUGGGCUUCAUAUGGCCCACAUGUCCAAUGGGCUCCACCCUGCACCCUUUCUAGAAUCUUUGACUUUUUAUUUUCAGAUAUGCUCUCUUCCCUUUUUCCCAGUAGAUUUUAUUUUAACCUACCUGACCAUAGUUUUGCCCUUUUGUAAUUUGUCUUGCACAGAACACAUCAGGACCACCCUCAAUCGUUAGUCUAUCAUGGGUUUUCAUCUUUAACUUGCAUAAUCAAUAGCUUCCCUCCCUCAGGACUACUUGGACCUCAUCUUUUUGUAGCUGGCUUCCUCAUGUGUCUUGUUCAUAUACCUAUCAUGCAUCCAUUUCUUCACCUGUGAAGCAUCACCUGGAACUGAUUCUAAACUAACUGUAAUUAUUUUAUAAAGAACUUGACAUAUGGAAGAUAUUCCAAAGGUAGAUCUGCCAAAUUUAGUGUAUUUUCUUGAUAAUAUGCCUUACUUUUUAAUUGGCUUCAAUGGUAUUUGUUCUUACCUUCUAUUAUAUAUAAAAUUUAUGGGAAUAUGUAUAAUAUGUAUUAUCUCCUAUGUGGAUAUUUGGUAUAAAAUAAUAGCAUUUUUCUAUGUGUAGGUGAUUGUUAAGGAAAUAAUUUCUUAGCUUGAAUGACAUAAUUUGUUCCAUUGUCCCCCAUCCCCUUCUAUUUUCUUCUUAGGAAAUCCAAUGAAAUAACUAAGGUGCUUAUAACAAACAUGUGGUCAGAACCAUAACUUGUAUCAAGGUUUGUUCUUCAGCAGCAGCUAGUAUUAAAUUCAAUGUUCUCAAAUAUUUACUCACAGUAAUAUGCUCCAUUUGAUCAGUGCUGUGAUUUUUGGCUCCCACUUAAUAAUAGUUCUAUGCCCUUUAGCAAAUAUAGCAGCAGGAAGACCAUAAUGUUCAAAACAACAAACUUGUUACAUGUGUAGCAUAUUAUUUUUUCUUUGCUAUCUGCCUUGACCAGUUUCAAGUUGCUUCUUGAAUCUGGGGCAGAUUUACACAUUUUUUCUUCUUCUUAAAAGCAUACAUGUCAGUUGUUUCACUUCUUUUUAAGCAUUUACAUGAUGAGUUUUAUGAUUGUGUUUCCAUUCUUAUAUAUUUAUUUAUUCAUUUUGGUAAAUUUAAUUGACCUUAAUUCUUGUUUCCUGGAUUCAUAAUCACUAUACAACUUUACUGAUCAAGUGAAAACAUGAUGAAGAUAUUUUAGUUUGUUAUGGUUUCACUUAACUUCAAUCAGUCUUAGACUGCAGAGGGGAAAAUAAAAGAGAAUGACUAUAAAGUUCACAAAAUAUUUUCCUGCAUGAAAUGAAUGUAAAAUUGUUCCUUAUUUUUUGAUAACAAGGUGUAUACUCUGUUGGGGGGUCCAGCCAUAUUGUCAACAUGAAAGCAACUAUGAAAUGAACUAAUUUUUGAAAUGACAUGGAAGCAUAAAGAGGCACUAUUGACAACGAGAUGAUGCCUCAGUCCAGCCAUGCAAGAACACAGACUCCUUCUGUGACCGAUUGCUUUUCUCAUUCUCAGCAAGUCUCCCUUUCUUUAUAAGAGGACUAUCACAUUCAUCACCAUGUAGUUUUCUGUUUUUUAAUCUCAGCCCCUUGAUUUUGGUAUUGGUUCCAUAAUCCAUUUCAGUGAAAUGAAUAUGAGUGAACGUGACUUAUUCUAUAUCUCAGCAGAAGUAAUGGGCAUUGCUAGGUUCUUCCAGAUCUUUUGCUGUUUUCCAUCUGCCCUGAAAAUGGAACGUCCCCAAAAGACUGCUCCUUUGACCUGAAAGAUGAGGCAAGACAACAGGUACAGCAGUGAUGCAGCAGACAGGCUCGGCUGCCACAUUUAAUAUCAGAGAGAAAUAUUUUGUACUAUAAGCCCCCCUACAUUUGGGGAUGGUUUGUCACUGCAGCCAAGCUAACUAUAUAUAUUGCCAUAUUUUGCAGUUUGUAGGAAUUUUUGAACAAUUCUUUCUUUUCUAUCUUUAAAAUAAUUGUUCCAAAUUUUAAGUUCCUUAAAAUUCUUUAAAUUUAUAUUUAUGGCACAUUUUUCACAAAGUGAUUUAUUAAUGAAUGGCUGGUAAAUUAAUGAUUUAAUAAAUAGAUGGAAGACUAACAACCAAUUAGAUAAACUCUCCAAAUUAGGUUAUAUAUUAUCUAGUUCAAAAGAAUCUCAUAGGGGCUGGUGUUGUGGCAUAGUGGGUUAAGCCACAACCUGAGUCGCCAGGAUCCCAUAUUGAUCCAGGAUGAAGACCUGGCUAUUACAUUCCCCAUCUAGCUCCCUGCUAAUGUGCUUGGGGAAGCAGUGGAAGAUAUCCCAAAUACAUGAGCCCCUGUGACUCACAGGGGAGACCCAGAAGAAGCCCCUGAUUCCUGGCUUGGCCUGGUCCAACCCUGGCCAUUGCAUCAAUUUGUGGGGUGAGCUAGUAGGUGGAAGACUUCUCUGUGUCUCUUCCUCUUUCUCUGCAGCUUUGCCUUUCAGACAACUAAAUAAAUAAUUUUAAGCAAUUUACUCUUAUAAAACACAUUUGUGUAUUAUGCAAUUUCUUCUGUAUAAUAAAAAGAACUUUCAUGUGUCUGUGACAGUCCCAUGCAUUUUUGUACUCUAGGGCCAAAGGCUAAUUGUUCCAAUACCCUGAUUUUAUUAUUUAUUUAUUUUAAAUAAGAGAAAGACAAAGUGAGCAUAAGAACAUUGGGGCAAACUUAAAGCAUAUUCAGAAUUCCAGAAUAUAAGGGCUAGUUGUUCUUUUACCUUCAGGGAAGCACAUUGAUUUUGUAGUCACUUAGUUUGCUACAACAAAUCAAAGUGUUUUGUAAAAGAUGGAUAAAAUCAUUUAAAAUUAUCCUUGACCUAUUUCUAAAUGUAUCUGUGAAUUUGUAUUUUAUUUUUAAGGUUUAUUUAUUUAUAUAAAAGCCAGAGUUAGAGAGAGAGAGGUGGAGAGAGACAGAGUGAGAGAGAACAUCCAUUUGCUGGAUCCCUCCCAGAAUGGUUGCGAUGGCUGGGGCUGGGCCAAGCUGAAGCCAGAAACAAGAAAUUGUUUCCUAGGUCUUCCACAUGGCAGCAGGAGCCAAAGAACUUGGGCCGUCUCCCACUGCUUCCCCAGGUUCAUUAGCAGGGAAGUGGAUCAGAAGUGGAGUGGCCAGGACUUGAAUCAGUGCUCAUAUGGGAUGCUGGUGUUUCAAGCUGCAGCUUGACCCUCUGUGCCAUAAUGUUGGUGUUGAUCACUUGAGUCAUUUAUUAAAAGUACAGUGCAUGUCUCUGUGUGUGUCAACACUUUGGAGUCUGCAGCACAUGGUGAACAAGCUUUCUCAUCAUAGUACUCCAGGUUGAAGAAAGAAUGACCACCAUACAUUCAAAGUUUAUUCUUGGGGCCGGCACUGUGGCGUAGUGGGUAAGGCCACCGACUGCGGUGCCGGCUUCCCAUAUGGGCGCCAGUUCGAGAUCCGGCUGCUCCACUUCCAGUCCAGCUCUUUGCUGUUGUCUGGGAAGGCAGUGGAAGAUGGCUCAAGUCCUUGGACCCCUGCACCUGUGUGGGAGACCUGGAGGAGGCUCCAGGCUCCUGGCUUCAGAUCAGGCUAGCUCCGGCUGUUGCAGCCAUUUGGGGAGUGAACCAGCAAAUGGAAGACCUCUCUAUCUGUCUGCCUCUGCCUCUCUGUAACUCUUUCAAGUAAAAUAAAUAAACCUUUAAAAACAAAACAAAGUUUAUUCUUCUAAUCUUAUGAAAUUCAUCCUUAGCUGGGAUCAUCUUAUUUUACAGUGUAUCAGCUGAGUAUCCUGACUUAGCUCUCUCUUCUGGUUGCCCAUAUCCUACAGCCUUCUGCCAUGAUGGGCAAAAAUAGACAUAGUUCCAAGAUCCAGAUAUAUUGUGAUUUACAUUGUUUUACCUUUUCUACAAACGUGUUGUAAAUGUCUUACUUUUAUUCUGAUACCAUAUCCCCUUACUCAGUUCCACUAUUCUUGUUUUUUAACCAAACUUAUUUUUAGGUCAUCAAUAUUUUAAUUCUCUAAAUAUAUACACCGUGGUGUAAACAAAACCAAAUGCUCAUAUAAAAAUUAUAGGAGUUCCAAUAUGGCUAACACAUUCAAAAAUUACAUUUAAAUUCAUUUAAUUAGUAACCCUCAAAAGAUGAUGAAAUAUAAAGCAAAAAAUAAAGAGAGAAAGGAGGCAAGUUAUAAAGUCCUCUGCAUGGAGGGGACCUAUGGAUGACCAUAUUUAAAUUAGGACCUAUAAAUUCUAAAUUUGAGAAAAAGCAUCACAAGCAUGACGGAAAUACAACACUAAGGCCAGAAAUCAACGUGGAGUUACAGAGUCCUGAGUCUUUUUCUACAAAAUGUACAUUGAAUUCUAGUACACUACAUCAGGAUUUGGAUCCUCAGCUAGAGAAAAAGUAGCUAUAGUAAAGCCGGAUCCAGACAACUGGGAUGGUAUCAGCUUGCCUUUCUGAUCUGCACGCACACGCACUGAAGCAUUUUGUGCUUCUAUAUCAAGACGUUUAUUGUUUGCCAUUUGAAAUUGUUUGCAAGUUUAUGCUAGGUUAAUAGGUUUUUUUGUAGCAAAUAGGAAAGAAAAAAUUUUAAAAAAAAAUUUCCUUAUUUAUUUGAAAGGCAGAGUUAGAAAGAGAGAGACAGAGACAGAGAUCUUUCAUCUUCUGGUUUACUCCCCAAAUGGCCACAAUAGCCCAGGCUAGGCCAAGAGCCAGGAACUCCAUCGGGGUCUCCCAAUGGUUGGCAGUUGCCUAAGAACUUGGGCCAUCUUAUGCUGCUUUCCCAGGUACAUUAGCAGAGAGCUGGCUUGGAAGUGGAGUGGCCAGAUUUCACACCAGCGCCCUUAUGGGAUGCUGGUAUACCAAUGGUUGUGGCUUAAUCUGCAGCUUCACACCGCCAACCUGAAACAAAAUUUUACAGGGCCCCUCCCUCCCAGUACCUACAACAUGAUUCAAUUCGCUUACAGAUGACACAGGAUAGUCCAUUACUGUGUAUGGGUGUGAAGGCUGUGAAAGUGAUAAUUGUGUACUAAAGAUAUGGGGCUUUUUAAAAAACAUGCUCUUGUUUUUAAUCUUUUGGAUUAGUUUUUAACUGAUUCAAUAUAGCUUUUAGAUACAGUUCUAAGAAUAUAAUGAUAUUCCAUUCCUUCUUCCCUCACUCUGUCCCCUCUGCCUUGCUAUCCCUUUCUUUAUUUAUUUUUUUUUUUUAGUUUUUGAGAUAACAUUUAAAAUUUUCAUUACACUAAAAGGUGUUUAUUGAGUAAAAAGCAAAAAGAACUCUAGUGGGAAUAUAGACAAUAGAUAUAAAUAAUAUUAGAAUGUUAAAGUAAUCACGGAUCAUUAAAACUAUAGUAGUAUGAUAUUCUUAAUCAUUGGUUUCACAAAUGAAUAAAACAAAGUUUUAUUUAAAAACUGUGUUUGCAGCAGUACUGAUACACACAGGCAUUUCUUUUGUUUUUGUUUUUUUUUAUCUUAGAAUUUUUUUCCUUUUUUUAAAAUCUGAGGUAUUCCAAUCUCAUUCAUGAGCAUCCCCUAACCAUUUCUUGCAAUGUUUGUUUUGGCAGAGAGAUCUUAAGAUGAAAUUUAAAUUCAAAAAAUGUGAUAACAAAUAUGAGAAUUCUAUUUAUACUUGCACAAACAUUAUUCCUUUAAAAUAUCUCAACAUUGAGACAAAAUUUUUGAAUUAGUGAUUCUCAAUAGAUUAAAAUUUUACUGGAGUAAAAUGAUGUAAAGUUCAGGAAUGAGGAAGCUUUGUCUGACAGCCAUAUGAUUAUUUAUAAUAUCAUUCAUGGGCCAUACAAAACUGCCAACUUAAAAAUUAGCCUGCUAUCGAUGAAUUGAAUUUUGAGUCCUCCAAUGAUUGCUUUGGCAGGGCCAGACCAGAUGAUUCGUGGGCCCAUAUGCUAGACAUGCCUCACCCCGACAGUGAGACUUAAAAGUUCCAAGGACAAAUACUUCUUUCUGUCUUUUAGGACAAACUAGAGCCACUUUUGUGCUACAAUUACAAAGUUGAGUCGUUACAACAGAAACCAUAUGGAUUGCAAAGCCUAAAAUAUUUACUGUGUUUUCCUAUAGAGGAAAAGCUUGAUAAUCCACAUUAUGCUUUCCAGUAUAAACAUGGGAGACAAAAUUAAAAUCUACAAAGAGAAGAUAAAGUUACCUAGCCUCAAUUUUUUUUUUUUUUGACAUCAUUGGAAAUUGUUGCCAUCAUGAGGGAUAACAAUUAAGCAUCAUGCAGAGUCCUUUUCACUUUUUUCGAUCACAUAUUACAAAUGUCUGUAAUGGAUCUCAGCAUUAGAUUCAAUUUUAAAUCUCCCACCCUGCUCUAGGGAAAUUGUGCUGAGUAGGUGAGAAAACCUGCAGUUUCUGUUAAAGAAUCAGCUUUGACUCCCAAUGGGUGAUCCAAUUCCAGUUCUAGUUGAUGCUGCUAAAGUAAAAUUUUUGUUUGAGUUUCCAACUGGUACAUGAUGAAUGUUUGCCCUAAAUAUUGCUGGUUAAUUUAGUAUUCUUUUGUGAGAGGAUCCCAAUAAAGCACUAUAAAUAAAUGAUAUUAAAUUGGAUCUCACUGGAGCACAGAAAGCAUACACCGAGGUCUAUAACAUCUCUGUAGUUUGGCUGAGAGAAGCCGUGCUUAGUGCAAACGUGUUGCAGAUAUGUAAGGGGGCAUUAUGGAAAAUUGUUCAAGUAAUUAAGGAAACAAUUAAAAUCUUUAAAGAAACAUACUGUUUAGUGUUUCCAUUAUUUAUUUCAUGAAAUGGAAAUGCGAUGAUAUUGUUAGAUUUUUCAGUUAUAUUAUUGAAAUGAUUUAUCAGAAAUCCUUUUUGAAAUAUAAAUAAUAGGGUGAUAGAUUGUCAUUUAGUAUAAGAAAAUCAGAUGUAUUCUUCAUACCAUGACUUAAAAUGGUUCAGAUAAUUAAAUACAAACAAGGAAACUCUAGUAUCUAGAAUAAUUUACAUUCAUCUAUAAUGUGGAUGUAGGAUGUUGCUUUCUACAUUGACUCAAUAUUCAUAUCCAAAUAAGAUGAAAGAUUGUUAAAUUUCACUAAAUAGGCAUAAAAAUGCUAUCCCUUAUUCAGAAUUCAAAAACAAAGUUAAAAAUUGGGAAAAUAUUUACAAAUGAUAUGAACAGUUAUCCCCAAAAUGAUAUCAAAUGGCUUUAAAUAUAUGAAAAGAUAUUCAACUUUAAUAACAGAACAUUUGGGGCCUGCACUGUGGUGUGGCGGGUGGUGCCCCUGCUGGUAGAGCCGGCAUCCCAUAUGGGUUUUGGUUCAAGUCUUGGCUGCUCUACUUCUGAUCCAGCUCUCUGUAUGGGCUGGGAAAUCAACAGAAGAUGGCCCAAGUCCUGGGGGCCCUGCACCCAUGUGGGAGAUCCAGAGGAAGCUCCUGGCUCCUGGCUUUGGAUCGGCCCAGCUCUGGCCGUUGUGCCAUUUGGGGAGUGAACCAGCAGAUGAAAGACUCCUCUCUCUCUCUCUCUGGCUCUGCCUUUCUGUAACUCUGCCUUUCAAUUAAUAAAUGAAUAAAUCUUUUAAAAAAUAAUAAAACAUUUAAUACACUUAGCAUUUUAGAAUAUAGUACAUCAUUGUUAACUAUAGUAACCAUGAUCUCUUGAGCUUAUUCUUGCUAUACAAUUGAAAUAUUGCAAACUUUGACAAACAACUCCCCAAAACCUCAACCCAUUCUAGCUCUGGUAACAACCAUUUUGUUCUGUUUCUAAGAAAUCACCUUUUGGAGAGUACCCAUAUGUAUAUACUCACUUUUUGAGAGUACCCAUAUGAGUACCCGUAUGAGAUCAUGCAAUAUUUGUUGUUCAGGCCUGGCUUAUUUCACUUUAUACGAUGUCCUACAUGCUCAGCCACAUUGUCACAAAAGACAAAUAUUCCUUUGUUUUUAGGGCUGACAUUGAUGGGUGCUUAGGUUGAUUCUGUAUUUUAUAUUUUGUGAAUAGUGCUAUAGUGAGUGCAGAUGUUUCUCAAUAUACUGCUUUUAUUUCCUUUGGGUAGAUAUGCAGUUGUGGGUGUGCUGGAUCAUUUUCUAGUUCUCUUUUCAAUUUAUUGAGAUAACUGUAUGCUGCUUUCCAGAAUAGCUAUACUAAUGUAUAUUCCUAUUAAUUGCGUGCAAGUCUUCCAUUUACCACAAUCCUCCCUGACACUUGUCAUAGUUUAUUUUUUGGUUGUUUUUGUGUAAUGGACGAUUCUUAGAGGCGGGAGAUGAUAAUUCAUUGUGGUUUUAAUUUGCUUUUCUCUCAUGAUUAGGUAUAUGUGAAAUGAUGCAUAUUUUAAUUAGCUAGAAUUUGUCUACAAUGUAUGCAUAUUUUAUUUUUAAUUUUUUUAUUAUUAUUUUUUUAUCUGAAAGGCAGCUUUACAGAGAGUUAGAGAAAGAGAGAGAGACAGAUAGAGAGAGAGGUCUUCCAUCAGCUGGUUCACUCCCCAAAUGGCCACAAAUGCCAGAGCUGUGCCAAUCAAAGCCAGGAGCCAGGAGCUUCUUCAGGGUCUCCCACGUGGGUGCAGGGGCUCAAGGACUUGAGCAUAUUCUACAGCUUUCCCAGGCCAUAGCAGAGAGCUGUAUUGGAAGCAGAGCAGCCAGAACUCAAACUGGCACCCAUAUGGGAUGCUGACACUGAAGGAGGCAGCUUUACCAGUUACGCAACAGUGCUGGCCCCACUAUGUAUACUUUAAAACAUUAUGUUUUACGUGAUGAAACAUAUAUUUUUAUCUCUCACUUUAAAAUGAUUAAGUUUGAAAACAAAAAAAGGAAAAAGAAAAGUGAAACUACACUGUGAUACAGCUUUUUCAUUAGAACGUUAUCUGCAAGUUAUAAAAUCCCAAAAAUAACUAAACUGCAAAUUUAGUUUAAAGUAUGAUAAAUAUUACAGUGGAGCAGUAUACAUUUGCAAAAACAAUGAAUAUUUUUCUAUGAACUGGUGUCGGGAUUAUGUUAAGUGAAGACAAUAAAAUGCAAAGGAGUAGGAGUAGGUGUAGAACUUCAGAGUAGGAAAAAGGGAGAAAAAACAAAAUAUGCAUUUGUCUACUUAUCUGAAAGAAACAUGAGACUUAGCCAGUACAAGUGGAUGGGGUAUGAGCUGAGAAGAAGAGGGGAGCUAGUGUCACUUCUCUGAACAGAUUUUUCUACUGACCCUCCAUAUCCAGGAGCUGUGGAUUCAACCAAUAGCAAGUAGAAAAUAUUUGAGAAAAAAUUACUGAACAUGUACAGAUUUUUAUGUUCUUAUUCCCUAAGCAAUUCAGUACAAUAGUUAUUUACAUAUAAUUUAUAUUUCAUUACAUAUUCAAGUAUUCUAGAUAUGAUUUAAAAUGCUGUAUAUAGGAAAAUGUGCUCAGGUUACAAGCAAAUAAUAUGUCAUUUAAUACUGUGGAUUUUUGCAUUCUUGGGGAUGGGGGGUCCUGGAAUGAGUCCCCCACUGAUACCAAGGAACAACUCUACUUUUUAGUUCUGAAAGCAGCUAAUGUCUAUAUAUUAAAAUUAAAAAUAAAUAAAUGAGAAUUAAGUAGAUUGUAAAUAUGAAAGCAAAUAUAGACAUAUUAACAAUUGUGUACAAAUGAACAACACAAGCAAAGGAAAAGGAAAAGUAGAAAAAUUUUAAAAAAGCUUAAUUUAAGGACCUUUUCUUGUCUUUUGAUUUUACCAUCUGCCCUCUCUGUCCAUUAAAGUUCUGACAGAAGUGAAUAAAAAUCGUUUUUCUGUGGGGAGAGUUUCUUAUUUUGAUGGUACUGGUAAAGCAAUUCUGUAAUUCAAUGUGUAUUUUACAAGAAUUCUAUAUUUUUCAUAUAGAAGGAGGAAAGAAAAGGAAACGCAUCACAAGAUAGACUGGAAUUGGAAUUAUCAGUAUGAACUCCCGAUUUAUGAGAGAUAUGUGUAUGUUUGUUUUUAUAUGUUGAUAAAGGCAUAUUUUUAUUCAUAUGCAUACAUACUUCUAGCUUCCUUCUAUGAACAGAUGUGUUUUAAUUUCAAUAUCACUUAUUUCUGUUAUACAGAAAACUAAUUGACUUUGGUAUAUUAACUUUGUAUCCUGCACAUUGCUGUAGUCACUUAAUUAGUUCCAGAAACUAUUGUGAAUUCCUUGGAUUUUCCACAAACACUAUUUUGUCAUCUGAGACAAGACUAUUUUAUUUCUUUCUUCAUAAUCUAUGCACAUUUUACUUUCAUUUCUUGACUCACUAUGUUAACUAGGAUUUCUGGUAAAAUAUUGAAAAGUGGUGAUGGAAAGGAAAUCCUUGUCUUGUUCCUGAUCUUGGUGGGCAAACUUGUCAUUUCUCACCAUUAAGUAUGGCGUUACCAGUAGGCUUUGUGUAGAUAUUUUUAUCGCUUUGAGAUUUCCUGGAUGCCUAGUUUGCUGGAAGUUUUGUUUGUUUGUUUGUUUUGGUUUUUUAUUUGUUUGGUUUCAUUGUGAAUACUGGAUAUUGUCAAAUGCUCCUUGUGCAUGCAUGACAUAUUGAUAUGAUUUUCUUUUCCUUAUAUCUGUUGUUAUGACUGUAAUAAUUGAUUUUCAAAUGUUGGACUAACCUUGCUUACCCUUGGUUGUGCAGUAUAAUUCUUUUCACACAUUGUUGGAUUGCAUUUGCUAAUGUUUUUGGAGUUCAAUGUAAUGUUCUUGAGACGUAUUUCUCUGCAGUUUACCUUUAUUUAAUGUAUUUGGUUUGUUUUCAGAUAAUGCUGGAUUCAUAGGAUUAGUUAGGCAGGUAUUUCCUCUACUUGCAUCUUCUGAAAGAGAUUGCAGACAGUUGGUGUAAUUUCUUCCCAAAACGUUUGGUAGAAUUUGAGCAUUGUGCUUUCUGUUUUGGAAGACUAUAAAUUUCUACUUAAAUUCUGUUGUAGAUAUGGUCCUGUUCAGAUUGUCUGUCUGUUUUUUGUGAGUUUUGGUAUUUGGUGACUUCCAAAGAAUUAAUUUUUCCAUUUGAUUUAGGUUAACAUGCUUGAGUAUAGAGUUGUUUGUAAUAUUCUUUUAUUAUCCCUUUAAUUGCCAUGAGGUCUGUAGUUGUGUCUCUUCUUUCACAUCUAAUAUUAACCAUUUGUGUCUUCUCUUUUUUUUUCUUAGCAUGUCUACAGGCUUAGUAAUUUUAUCAAUCUUUUCAAGAAAUACCUUUUGUGGAUUUAAUCUAUUAAUUUUUGUUUUAAUUCUUUUUUAAAAGAUUUUCUUAUUAAUUUGCUAAGCAGAGUGAGAGAAGGAAACAUGAGAGAGAAAAAGAGAGCAAGGAGAUGCAGGGAGGAGAGUGGGUGGGAGAGGAGAUCAUCUCCCAUGUGCUGUUUCAUUCCCCAAAUCACCGUAAUGGCCAGGGCUGGGCCAAACCAAAGCCAGGUGCCAGAAACUCCAUCCUGAGUGGCAAGUGCCCAGGUACACUGGCCAUCAUCUGCUGCUUUCCCAGGUGCGUUAGCAGGAAGACAAAUAGAAGCAGGGCUGCUGAGACUCGGAGGGGUACUCUGAUAAUGGGAUGCAUGCAUUGCAACCAAGGACUUAUCCCACUGAACCACAAUGCCAGCCCAAUUCUAUCUUUGUCACUCUGACUUUUGAUAUUUCUUCUGCUUAUGUAGAAUCUACUUUGUUCUUUUUAUGCUAGUUUCCUUAAAUGGAGGCUUGGAAAAUUGAAUUUAGAUAUUUGUUCUUUUGUAACAUUUGAAUUCAGCCCUAUGAAUUUCCUCUAAGCUUUAAUUCACUGCUUUCACAAAUUCUGAUAGGUUGUAUUUUCAGUUUCAUGUAGAUCGAAACUGUUUUAAAAUUUCUCUUGGGAUUUAUCUGCUCACUCUUGUGUUAUCCAGAAGUGUGUUGUGGGGCUGAUGCUGUGGCGUAGUGAGUAAAGAUGCCAUCUGCGGUGCCAGCAUCCCAUAUGGACGCUGAAUGGAGUCCCAGCUGCUCCACUUCAGAUCCAGCUCCCUGCUGGUGGCCUGAGAACAGUAGAGGAAGAUGGCCCAAGUGCUUGGGUCCCUGCACCCAAGUGGGAGACCUGGAAGAAGCCCCUGGCUCUGGCCUAGCCUGGCCGUGGUCAUUGUGACCAUCUCGGGAGUGAACCAUCAGAUGGAAAACCUCUCUCUACAUCUUCCCCUCUCUCUGUAGCUCUGCUUUUCGAAUGAAAAAAAAAAAAAAGAAAAAGAAGAAGAAAUAAGAAAUGUAUUGCUUAAUCUCUAGAAUUUUGGAAAUUUCUAGCUCUUUUUCUGCUGCUAAUUUCUUGUUUAAUUCCAUUGUAUCUGAAAGCAGUGUGUAAUUCUUGUUGUUUAAAUUCUGUUAAAGUUUAUUUUAUGGCCCAAAAUUUGGUUCCACAUGGACUUUAGAGGAAUAUGAAAACGGCUAUUGUUACCAAUGGUUUGUUUGCAUUGAAUUCUUCUCAGCUGGAUCUGUUAACUUUUGAACUUCCUAGUAUAUACUUUUAUAUUAAUCUGUGCCUAUUAGUACAGUAGUUUAACAUCCUUUGUAGCAUUAGGUCAUGCCACCAGUUUUAAAUUUAGUAAAUAUCAUCUUGUUAUUAUUUUAUGAAUAAAACAAUUUUAAACUGUACAUUAUAUUUCAUCUUGUGAUAAAAUAUUUAAAAUUGAUUAUCUCAUAAAGGGAUGUAGGAUUAGAAAUGAAAACAGCAGGAUAAUUCUUUUGGAAGUUUUCUUUAGGGGUAGACAUUUAGCUAGUGGCAAAACCAGUUGAGUGUGUAAAACCUGUAUUGGAGUGCCUAGAUUCAAGUCCCAGCUUCUCUCCUGGUUUCAGCUUCCUGAUAAUGCACACCCUGGACUGCAGGAGGUAAUGGGUCCCUGCCAAGCAAGUGCAGGAUCCAGUUUAAGUUCUUGGAUCCUGAGUUGUGACUAUCCCAGGUGUAGCCAUCGCAGGGAUUUGAGGAGUAAGCCUGCAGAUGGGAAAUUUCUGCCUGCCCAUCUCACCGUCUCUUUGUCUCCUGACUUUCACAUAAAUCAAAUGAUUUUGAAAAUUUCCUCUCUGAGAUGAAAUAAAUAAUAAAUACAUAUGCAUACUCUUACCUUUCCCAAACAAAUUAACAAUAUGAGACACCCAUGCACACAGAUAUACACACAGAUACUAAACAAAUUAAAUAUAUUUUCCCUUUUGCUUCUUUGUGAUUUGAAUAGGAAAUAAAGUAUUGAAUAGGAAAUAAAGAAUAAUUUCACAUUGUGUUAAAUCUGAGAAACAGUUUGUAAAUGUUUCUAUUGAUUGUAUAAUCCAGUUCAAAAUGAAAUUAUAAAGCAUAGCAUAAUCAAUUCCUAUAAAUAAGUAUCACAAUGGUGCUUUAAAUAAUAUGUAUAUACUUAUCUCUGGAUUUAUCAUUUAGAGUCAUAUUAGCUCAACUGCAUCAUUAAAGAGUUAUUAUAACCAAGCAAAUUUCUUCACUCAUAGUUAAACUUCAUAUAUUUAGAAAUUAUGCAUUCAUAUUUAGUCAUGUGUAUGGAGGUGGAAAAUCAUAAUAAUCUGAUACACUAUGAUUCAUGGCAAAGGUUACAACAGUAUUAUGGAGGUUUGCCACAUGUUGUAGUAUAUUAUGAGAGGAGAAAUAAAAUAGUCAAGUGGUUCUCAAACUGAAGAGUGCUUCAGAAUCACCCACAGGGCUUGUUGAAAGUGAUGAAUAGAUUGCUGGGCCAUACCCCUAGAACUUUUGAGAUGCAAGUCUGGGAUAGGGCCAACAUCAUGAAUGUCUAACAAGUUUGCAGGUGUAGCUGGUACUGCUAGUUUGCAAUCACCUUUGUAAACCAGCUGAGUAAUAAUUUUCUAAUAAAAUAAGUUCAAAAUUAUAUCUGCCCAAGAAAUCUGAAACAUGGUUAAGGCUGACAUCCUUGCAUAUUCACAUGAAGGCAAUUAACUAGUACGUUUGAGUCCUGAUGUUAUUGGUGUUAUUAGUGCACAUUGAAUAAUAUGGUAGACACAUAGCUAUGGAACCUGGUCUUUCUAAAAUCUUAAGUCUUUAUUUGAAAAUAAAUGAUACAAGUUAUGGAAAUCCUCUAAAUAGUUGAACUGUUUUCUUGAGCAAGAAGAGUAUUUUCUGCAUUAUUCAUGAAAUUCAAUAAUGGAAGUAAAAGUUAAUAUUUAUAUUGAGUGCCUCUGCCGAACUGAAAAAGGCAUUUUAAAAUUUUAAGUGCUCAGGCUGGAGUAUUUCGAUGAAGAUAGGUAUUUAUUUUCACUAUAUUUUGAAAAUCCACUUUUAAGAGCCCAAAUUCAGAUAACUGUCAUCUCAAUGUAACCUUAAGUCAAAUGGAUAUUCAGCAUCAGUCUUAAGGUGUAUUAGAAACAGUGGAGUUGUAUUGGUAAAGUUUUGAGUGGGUGUGCUCUUGCAAACACCUGAGUGCUAUUCAGCUUAAUUGGGUUAUAGCUCAUGCUGAUCGUGUUUUCCCUCUGUUGUAUCUAAUUUCUUUUUCCCCCAAUAUUUUAUUGUUUGGUUUGGGCUCUGAAGGUAUAUGGAAAUUAAAGAACUCUAAUUUUUUAAGAGCCCUAAAGGGAAGUAUGCUUUUGUGUUAGUCAUUCCUGUGAACACCUGUGCACUGUUGAAUUUAAUUGGGUUACAGCUGGUGCUGAGAGACAGUGAACUAAAUGAGGGUUUGCAGACUGACUAGCAUCUUGACAUUGCAUGUCAUUGUUUUGAUUUUUCCCCUUUGUUUUCUCUUUCUGUACAUUUGCAAGAUGCUUGGAUUUUAAAGAUUUGGAAGGCAAAUUGAAUGGAAUUCUUACAAUCUGUGAUGCAUUGUAGUGUUUCCCUCAAAAAGUGCACUCCCAUUAUAAAUUGUGAACUCCCCCAAAAUAAGGUGGUCCUAGCCUCAGAAGCCAUCUGGACACUUGUUUCCAGUAAUUCAGGCACAUUUAAUAUCGUGGUUAGAUUUUGACAGGCUAGU